rnacentral:lncRNA from 1 species
CUGGGGCUCGCGGCCCACGGGGAGAGGGUGUUGUCGUGAACUUUCAUGAGGUUCUCUUUGUCGAUGACACCCGGGCCACGGUGGGGGCACUAACCCCCCGGGGGGAGGGGUCCUGGGAAUGAAUCGUAGCCCAGCGCUUGGCCUUGAACAGGAUAUUAGUGGAAAUAUUGCUGUGGUUGUCAGGAAACGCGAGUGCAGCCGCACAGCUACUGCCUGUUAUGCAGCGAGGAUAUCCGGUGGCUGCGAGGUCUGUAAUUUAGAAUAAAAAGCUCUCCCAACACCCGAGAGGCUGACCUCAGCGCCGCGUGGCGGUAAUGCGCUCAGCGCCCUCUGUGGAGACGGUCCAAAUCCUGACAGGUGGGAGAGCUUAGGUUAGACCUUCAAGAGCCCUGCAGAUGGACCUGCAGAAUCAGACUGCAAAAGUGAGCCAGCCACUUGCUAAACGUAGUUGAAGUGGAGGGCACAGAUCGCCUGCCAGUUAACAAUAUUAAUAAGUAGUGUUUUCCAGGGCAGACUGCUACUUCCGUGUUGGGUUCUUUACAAAGUGGGUAACUGACCGUUAUUCACGAAGCCAGAAGCGUGUAUCUGCAGUGCCACGAGACUGGAGAAGGAUCCAGGACCACACAGCUGUCUUCUUAGAUAAAUCUGACCCACUUGGCCUUCUCUGGAGGGAUGUUUCGUGCUGACUCACGAGCAACAGGAAGGUGAAUCUCCUGUCUCCAUCACAGAGUGCUGGGUUCACAGAUGUGCAUCACCCGAGUCCAGCUUCUUCUGUGGAUUCUAGACCUGAAACUCAAGUCAUCAGGGUGGCAUGGUAAGCACUCUGACCCACUGACCCAUCUUCCCUACCCCUAGUGCCUGACUUAGAAGGGCACAUCAGGACAGCUGUGGUAGCACUUUACUGUCUUGUAUUGUAUGGAGUUUUGAUGCUGGGGAUUGGACCCCAAGGCCUAAUUCAUGCCAACUGUCUAUAGCUCCAGCCCUGCAGUGUCGCUUUAUAUAGUUCAUAGCACCAGAAAAAUAUAUGAAUUAUUG